rfam:Vigna angularis cultivar Jingnong 6 scaffold182_59, whole genome shotgun sequence.
UUUAACUGUGACUAGUCUUACAGACCAGUAAUGAGUUACGGGUAUGAUCGCAACCAUUAAUUAACAUUUAAGGGACUGAGUUAUU